ensembl:lincRNA
CCUAAAAAUAGCCCAUGAUGUCACCCCAAGGCCUUCCCAUUGGCUUGCGUCGCUCUCAGGGGGGCGGGCCCGCCCGUCGCUAUGGAGACCCCACCCUAGAAGNNNNNNNNNNNNNNNNNNNNNNNNNNNNNNNNNNNNNNNNNNNNNNNNNNGUGGGCUGACGUCUUGGGGUUUGACUGUCCUGUGACGGUGGCCGCGGCGACCUGGAGGACUGGAGCUGACGCUCGCAACUUCAGACAGAGGCGGGCUCAAAUUCAGGGCUUACGACCGGGAUGCAAGGGAUACGGAGACCCGGAAGGCUGGGGAACCGGGCCAGUUGUCUGGGCCGAGAACGUGGGGGCGGUAGUAUUUCUCCCCUUUGUGGGGAUCGAAGUCACCCACGGGCAUUUCUCCACAGCGCGGGACCCGGAGGCUGAGAGCUCGGAUUUGUACCCCCCCCCCCCCCCCCCCCCCGCGCGCUUCCGGGGAGCCGGAACGCCGCCCUUAAGUAGUUCUCUUAAGCCUCCUGUGGGGGCGAGUGAAAGUGCGCUUACGGUUAGGGGCGGUGUCGGGGAGUGGACCCCCCACAGUGAGAACGCUUCGAGUUUAUUUCUUGGUCAAGUUCGGGAGCAACCGUUGGAGCCGCUAUCUGGCUGUGCCUAGAGCCGAGUGAUUUGCAUUGCUCGAAACCCGGCACUCCGCUAAGUCCCCGCUGCGCCCCAUUUCAUUCUCCCGCACCAUGAGGGAGAGGGUGCGGGGGGGGGUUGCAGUUUUGCCUUGGUGGGAAGGUUUUUAUGUGAGGUAGUAGGAGCGAACUCAGCGUCCAAUUGGGAAUGAGCGUUUAUUUAGAGACUCCGAAACUCGGGAACCCCGGGAUCGCCUCCUCCACCCCACCCCCCACCCCAUACACCACUCCCGCCCUGAUUUGCUUCCGGGAAGACAAGUCCCGAGAACAGCAGACACGCCAAAAGUCACGCAGCGAAUUAGGGGUAGAAUCAGGAUUUAAAAUCUCUGCUGCUCGCCGGGUGAUGGGCCCAUGUCCUGUGCAGCCUCUAGGAAGCGCUAGACACAUGGAAAAAGAAAUGGGCUACUCCAGCUCUAGGUGCCAGCACUGUUUGUGUUUCCUUGGACACUCCACCCGCUUGCCAGUUGAACACUGGCCUGGUUUGGGCUUUUCUGAGAUGACAGUGAUGAUGACGAUGACGAUGACAACGAUGAGUUAAUAAAGGCACCUGGGUUCCUUUCAAGCUCUCCCCCUCCACCCUCUCGUCAUGGUAGUCUGCAUGAAUUGGAAGGCAUGGGGCCUUCUGGUCUGGAUGAGCCUGUGGUUAAAGACAGCAGACGUGCAUGGAGUCCAGAGAGGCCUCUGGGACUUGAGAUGGGCACUGAUAGUCUCCCAAAGACCCUGGGACCCCACUCACCAGUGCCAUGGAAGGUAAAAGUUGUCCUCAGUGUCACUGGAGAACAUUUGGAGGGCAUUUGGGCCACCUGCCCUUGAAGAGUACAUGGCAAUUGUUGAAUGCCUGAAUCGCCUUAAUUUUUGCACUUGGCAAACAAGACUUGACCGAACCUUCCAGAAGUGGGAUGAAUAAUAAAUAUGAGGG